rnacentral:rRNA from 1 species
GACGAACGCUGGCGGCGCGCUUAACACAUGCAAGUCGAGCGAUGAAAUUUCGACAGAUCCCUUCGGGGUGAAGAUGAAAUGGAUUAGCGGCGGACGGGUGGGUAACACGUGAGUAACCUGCCUUUGACAUUGGGAUAGCCUCGGGAAACUGGGAUUAAUACCAACUGACACUAACUGAUCACAUGAUCAAUUAGUCAAAGAAAUUCGGUCAAAGAUGGACUCGCGGCUGAUUAGCUAGUUGGUGAGGUAACGGCCCACCAAGGCGACGAUCAGUAGCCGGCCUGAGAGGGUGAUCGGCCACAUUGGAACUGAGACACGGUCCAAACUCCUACGGGAGGCAGCAGUGGGGAAUAUUGCACAAUGGGGGAAACCCUGAUGCAGCGACGCCGCGUGAGCGAAGAAGGCCUUCGGGUCGUAAAGCUCUUUUAUGAGGGAAGAUAAUGACGGUACCUCAAGAAAAAGCCCCGGCUAACUACGUG